UACGAAGGGGGGCUAGCGUUGUUCGGAAUCACUGGGCGUAAAGGGCGCGUAGGCGGCUUGAUAAGUCGGGGGUGAAAGCCUGUGGCUCAACCACAGAAUUGCCUUCGAUACUGUCGGGCUUGAGACCGGAAGAGGUAAGUGGAACUGCGAGUGUAGAGGUGAAAUUCGUAGAUAUUCGCAAGAACACCAGUGGCGAAGGCGGCUUACUGGUCCGGUUCUGACGCUGAGGCGCGAAAAGCGUG
rnacentral:rRNA from 1 species